CGCGAACGCUGGCGGCAGGCUUAACACAUGCAAGUCGAACGGGCACCUUCGGGUGUCAGUGGCAGACGGGUGAGUAACACGUGGGAACGUACCCUUUGGUUCGGAACAACUCCGGGAAACUGGAGCUAAUACCGGAUACGCCCUUUUGGGGAAAGGUUUACUGCCGAAGGAUCGGCCCGCGUCUGAUUAGCUAGUUGGUGGGUAACGCCUACCAAGGCGACGAUCAGUAGCUGGUCUGAGAGGAUGAUCAGCCACACUGGACUGAGACACGGCCCAGACUCCUACGGGAGGCAGCAGUGGGGAAUAUUGGACAAUGGGCGCAAGCCUGAUCCAGCCAUGCCGCGUGAGUGAUGAA
rnacentral:rRNA from 1 species